rnacentral:rRNA from 1 species
AGCUGCAGUAUCUUGACUGUACAAAGGUAGCAUAAUCAUUAGUUUUUUAAUUGAAAGCUGGAAUGAAUGGCCGAAUAAGGAAAUAACUGUCUCUUUUUAAUCAAUUAGAAUUUUAUUUUUAAGUUAAAAAGCUUAAAUCUAAUAGAAAGACGAGAAGACCCUAUAGAGUUUAAUAAAUUUGAAUUUUUGUAGGUUAGGGUUUUAUUAUACAAAGGUUUUUAUUUAUUUUGUUGGGGUGACAAUAGAAUUUAAAUAACUUCUUUUUUUUUAUCAUUGAUUUAUGAAUAAAUGAUCCUAAUUUUUAGAUUAAAAGAAUAAAUUACCUUAGGGAUAACAGCGUAAUUUUUUUGGAGAGUUCUUAUCGAUAAAAAAGAUUGCGACCUCGAUGUUGGAUUAAAGUUUAGUGCUGGUGAAGAAGCUAGCAUAUUAAGACUGUUCGAC